rnacentral:rRNA from 1 species
UGGGCUCGAAAUGCAGUGGACCGGGGUGGAAACAUCCCUUUCCGCAAGGACUGCUGCAUAGGUGCUGCAUGGCUGUCGUCAGCUCGUGUCGUGAGAUGUUGGGUUAAGUCCGCAACGAGCGCAACCCUUAUUGCCAGUUGCUACCGGGUUAUGCCGAGCACUCUGGCGAAACUGCCCCGGAUAACGGGGAGGAAGGUGGGGAUGACGUCAAGUCCUCAUGGCCUUUAUGUCCAGGGCUACACACGUGCUACAAUGCCCGGUACAAACCGUCGCAAACCCGCAAGGGGGAGCUAAUCGGAAAAAGCCGGGCUCAGUUCGGAUUGCAGUCUGCAACUCGACUGCAUGAAGCUGGAAUCGCUAGUAAUCGCGGAUCAGCACGCCGCGGUGAAUACGUUCCCGGGCCUUGUACACACCGCCCGUCACAUCACGAAAGUGGGUUGUACUAGAAGUCGGUGCGCUAACCGCAAGGGGGCAGCCGCCCAAGGUAUAAUUCAUGAUUGGGGUGAAGUCGUAACAAGGUAAGCGUAGAUGA